GCCGGUGUGGCGGAAUGGCAGACGCGGCAGAUUCAAAAUCUGCUAUCAGCAAUGGUGUGGGGGUUCAAGUCCCUUCACCGGCACCA
rnacentral:tRNA from 1 species